UACGUAGGGUGCGAGCGUUAAUCGGAAUUACUGGGCGUAAAGCGUGCGCAGGCGGUUCGUUAUGUCCGAUGUGAAAGCCCCGAGCUUAACUUGGGAAUGGCAUUGGAAACUGGCGGGCUGGAGUGCGGCAGAGGGGGGUGGAAUUCCACGUGUAGCAGUGAAAUGCGUAGAGAUGCGGCGGAACACCGAUGGCGAAGGCAGCCCCCUGGGCUGAGAUUGACGCUCAGGCACGAAAGCGUGGGGAGCAAACAGG
rnacentral:rRNA from 1 species